AAAUCAUUUUGUCAGUUUGGAAAGAAAUGAAAUCAAAUUCAUCUUACUUAUAACAUUGAGAUGAGGAGGUCUUUUAAGAGAAACUAGAAAAACAAAAGGGACAUUUAUUCAUUAUUUUUUUCUAGUACUUUUCAAUUUUUGAGGAAAAUUAAAAUAUCCUCAGUGGAGAAGAGGAAUAAUCUUUUUCUCAAUCUUCACAUGGUUAGGUGCACAUAACUACAAAAUCCCAUUCUCACUCCUUCCCACUCCUCACUCCCUACACACAUCACAGCAAGGUGAGGGUGAAUAGUUGAUAUUCACACUAAGAUCUUCUCUACAUUUGGCCCAACUCUUAAUAACCCAGGAUGUCAGUAUCUUCAGAGAGUCCCUGUGGGUCCAUGCAAAUAAUGCCUGAAGUGAAUAUUUCAUGGCUGGGAAAUUAAGAGUUGAGGAUAGUUCAGAAAUUUCUUGUUUGUAGAUAACACCAGGACAUGAUGAAGUAGUUCAGGUGGAAAUCAGAAAGGUAUUAUGAAUAAGUCUCUCUGAACCACAGUAAAGACUUAAUCCCUGUGAAAGCAAAGGAAGUUAAUUUGAUUACCACUUGCUUGAAUUCCCUCAAAUUCUUGGGCAUCCUAGCAUAACCUACAGGAAUUUAGCAUUUCAGUCAAUUUCUUUACCCCCUUUUCCAGUCAUUACCAGGUUGCUUUGAUUAUAUUAAGUUAAAAACACAUUCGAUAUGAUUGGGGAAAGGAAGCAAAAUAGCUUGAAGAAAUACAGUGUUUGAUGUCUUCAAUUACAAAGGGGGUUGGGGUGAGUGUAGAAGAGAUAGAAAUGUGAGAGAACAAGCACACACUAGAGAGAAAUGAAGAGAUGGAGAGGAGAUGAAACAGCAUGCAGCAUGCUGGAUAACAUCUCCAUGGCAACCACAUUACAUGUACAGAGAACUGCCAAAAUAAGUCAAGAUCCAAGCAAGUAGGUGUUGGUGGAAAGAGAAGACAAGCACUCAGCAAUGGGCAAAAACCACCUAGAGGAGAUGAAUUAUCUUUGUGAAUUUAACUCUUCUUCCCAUUUGUUUUUCUAACCACACCUAAAGCUCUAGUUUGAGUGAGAAUGUGUCUAAAGUGUCGAGGCUGCCAAAUCCAGAUCAUUCAGGAAGGUCUCAGGAUGACAUGAAUGAGGCUUAAAAAGCCCCCGAUUGAAGCCAAGAGAAAAAUCAUUAAGUGAGGCACCAAGGAUACAUGGAAAUAUGAUGAGACAAAAAAAGAAUGUGUCUUCUGAGAAGAGAUGAGACACUACUCACAUUACUUUUUCCAGGACUGGGGAAAGUGAAGAAAAGUCUCUGUGAAUGAAGUAAAGGAUUACAAAGUUUUUUAUGGCCUUCAUUUGCCUUUUCUUUCAUUCUUCCCUCUUCAUAAGACUUGAGGCUAUGUGUGCUCCUACUUUAGAAGUGACAGACUCUGAAGAAUUAAGAGGAUUUAAAGUGGUGUCAAUGACAAGGAACAAGGAGUUUGCUGUUCUAUGGAAAGCUGCAAAGGGAUCUCUAAGCUUUCUACAUUGUCCCACUCAAUUCACCAAAGAGAGAAAACUGAUGUGAAAGAAGUCUUUGUCAAGAAAAUAAAGGAAUUUGUAUUUUGGGGUGUAUCCUAACCAUCAUAUAGAAAACAGACAGGAUAGGAAACCAGUGCAUAAAGCCUACAUCUUUCGCUCACCUAUCCCCUUCCUUCCCUUCUACCUUGCCAAACACUGGCCUGCCACUGUCAUAUCUCUCAGGUGUAUGACCUAGCAAUAACUGAGUCAAGGCAGCAAAGCUGAGGAGAGGAAAACCCCAUGAAAACAAUGGUUUAAAGACUAUGCUUGUUUUAUAGAGAAGUAAGAACAUAAGAAGCUGGUGGGGAGCAAGCUUCAGGCUUCACCAGGGGAGUUAUUUUAGCUGGGUCUGAAAGAGCGAGUAGUCUACUUGGCAAAGAAGAGAAGAAUGGAGAGUCCAGAGAGUGUGUCAGGUACAAAGAAGAGUAUGGGAAUGAUGAAGGUAUAGCUGCAGGACAGGAGGGAGGAAAGAGAAUAACGGAGUCAGGGUGGGCAGAAGCAAUGGAAGAAAUAAGGCUGAAAACAGGGCCAAUUGUGAAGCUUUUGAACAGGAUGCUGUAUUCCUAUAAAUAAGUACCCAAGAACAGUUUUCAAACAGGGCAGAUAAGUGAUCCAAUUAAUUUUUCUAAUUAAUUUUUUUCAUUGUUGUUAAGAAAAAUAGUGGUUGGCAUAAAGACAAGUUAAGCGGCUCAUAGUGUAGAUAAGGGAAACAAUGCAAACCUGAACCCCAGUAGCGGAAAUGAUGAUUGCAUGCUGGAGAAUAAUCUGAGACUAUUGUGAAGAGUGGAUGGAUGUGACAUGUGAAAUGUAGUGGAUUUAAAUGCAUCAAUUGCUCCCUGUGACUGCAGGGAGAAUAAGUAUAGCUCUGACCUCUGCAGGACACUAUCAAGGUAUGACACCUUGUAUUUAUGAUCUUUCUUACUAUAACUACAACCUCCUUAGGACUUCAAGGUCAAAGGUGAGCUGACUGGUUCUUAUUAAAAUUGGCAAAGGAAGAAGAAAUGCUUGGGAGUCAAGAAGGAAAGGAAGCCUGGAGCAUUAAUGAAGACCAAGAAGGGGUGCAGCAUAAUCAUGUUGCACAUUGGAAGACUGAGCUAGUAUGAGUAUACAGAAUGAUGUGAGGGAAACAGCAUCCCACAAGUAAACUUUUAUAUAUGUAACAAAAGGUGUGUAACUACCUUGGGAGCCCUCCUAUCUUCAGACAUGAGAAUACUAGCUUGGAGUUCUUUAACUAUCUUCAUUGUUCUUGUUCAGCCUUCUCAAAAUCACCAACAUCUCUUUUGCAUGGUGGGAUAUAAGAUGAUUGCUUCAGUAAUUAUUCCAAAGUCCACACCCUGAUGUCCUCUCAAAUCUCAGAGAUGUCAGUGCAUAUCAUUUGAAAAAGUUGCCCCAGGAAUAAAAAAGUUGCUAGAAUCUACCUGCACCAUGCAGUCUCACCGCCACUAAAAACUUCUACUCCAAUAUGUGCCAGACCUAUGCUGAAUGAGAAGAAAGAUUGCACACCAAUUUGAUACUUCAAUGAACUCAUAUGGACUUGGGCUCCCUCUCAUUACGGCAUCAUAUUACAGGAACAUGUUUAAGUCAUGGCUCACUGUGAUUCUCAGCUGUAUGUUGCCAUCCUCUUUCAUCCUGUUUUCCUGUAAGUGAGCUCUUCAUUAUCAGUACUAAUGGAGGACAGGGAGGGCAUACCUAACCAAAAUCAACAGAUAACUCCAAAACUUAUUGUAGGCAAAGGGUUCAAAAUUCUCCCCCACCAAGCCCUUUGCAGAGCUCCUACCAUGAAGCAGAACUUAAUAAUGCUUUAGCCGUUCUUUAUGCUUCUCCAUAUCAGCUGGUGGAAGUCCUAACAAGCAGCAAAAUGACCAAAACCCAGCAGGAGGGGAAAGGGUGAAAAGCAAAAGACCUAGAAACUGCACAAAGUGGGUAAUAAGUGCCUGAAUGAUGAGCUCUUGGAAAAUCAGGCCCUGCUUGAUGAGGUUUAUUCCCCCACCCCCAAAAUGCAAUGAAGACAAAUCACCCAGCAAGUUUGCUCUAAGAUGUAAAUUCUGAGUUGCCAUGAAUUACUCCCACAACUCAGGAGAGAGGCAAAGAAUGGGAAAAGCCUCAAUUUUCACUUUUUAAAUGUGCAACCAUAACCUUAAAAUUCAUCCAAUUCAGGAAGCAGCUUGUCUCUAAAUGUGAUUAGAAAAAAAAACAGAACAGUCUAUUGAGUCUAUCAGGGCUUCUGACACACUCACAGAUGGUGCAACUAACAUCUAGCUGAGUCCGUAUCCCUACCCCAUUUCUCCCUUGUCACCCUACUAGCUUUUGGGAACACCUGACUUUAUCUCCCCUUGUAUUCUUAUCCCCUGUUCUCUCUUAUGUAGGUGCUACAGUCACUAGAAGGAGACUUCUUAUUUGACAGUGACAUUCCAAAAGCAGGAACUAGAGUGCGGGGGCUGGAAGGAGCCUCAGCAAAGAGGCUCUACUCCAUGUUCCUCAUCCCAAACAUUUUGUCCAAGGUUGCACUUAGGGACAAUAUCCCUACCAAUGAAAUAGAGCCUUUUAAAGAGAUCAGAAGCAAUAUAACCUCAUCCAUUAAAUCUGUGCGUGAAAACAUGGUAUCCAAGUUAGCAUUUUCUGUACUUUUGUGUGCAUUUCAAGAAUUUCACAUUAAAAAUGUUUCACUGUAUAAAACACACACACACAAAAACAGUUAACCUGCACCAACACUACUGUUUCACUACUUAAGCAGAGAAUGUUGAUCCUGAGAGUGCAUUUUGCUCAAUCCAACAUGUGACACUGCAACUUGCACCAAAGUCACAGAUAAGAUCACUUUUGCAUCUGACAUGUAGAAUGAUAAAUAGACCCCACCUGCUCUUCUCCAUUGGGUAGCAUUUCUUAAAUGAGAAGCUGGGACAUUAUUCAGAUGCAACUACCAUUGCACAGAACAGCACUAUUUCUUCCAGCUUCGGCAUUCAGCUGGAGGUCACCUCCCCACAUCAUUAUCAGGCCGUGCUCCAAGGUUGAUGAGGCAAUGAGUGGAUAACACACACUGCUGAGGGAUGCGCGUGCAUGCUGUUCUAUACUGAUGCAAUACCAUGCGGUGGAGUUGGGGCGCGGGGCGCGGGGAGCGGAAUGAUUUUACAUUUAGGAACGUCUCCAAAUCCCAGCAAAUCCCUGCCUUGUUGAAACAAUGAAACCCUCCACAAGGAGAGCCCCUAUAGAAAAGCAAGACAGUAGGGAAUUUCUCAAAAUGUUCCUUUUGUGGAGACAAGUAAAUAUUAGUUGAAGUUGCUUUGAUAGUAUAAUUUCAAUUUUGUAUACGAUAAAAUGACUUGUGUCUGAAUAAACAAAAUAUAUUUAUAACAGAUUUUGAAAAGCCUGGCAGAAAAUAUUCAAAAAAUAUAACAGUAUUACAUCUUUGUGUGUGAUAAAAAUCAGUGUAUUAUAUAAUUGUUUCAAAUAUUUCCACAAUGUGUAUACAUAUAUUACUUUUAUGUACAGAAAAAAUAUAUUUUAAAAACCAAAGAAGAUCUACUUUGAUCAUCCGCAUACAGUACUACAUAACAAAUCAAAAUUAUUUUUAUUUUUUUGAGACAG
rnacentral:lncRNA from 10 species